rnacentral:rRNA from 1 species
CGGCCACAUUGGAACUGAGACACGGUCCAAACUCCUACGGGAGGCAGCAGUGGGGAAUAUUGCACAAUGGGCGAAAGCCUGAUGCAGCAACGCCGCGGGAGUGAUGAAGGCCUUCGGGUCGUAAAACUCUGUCCUCAAGGAAGAUAAUGACGGUACUUGAGGAGGAAGCCCCGGCUAACUACGUGCCAGCAGCCGCGGUAAUACGUAGGGGGCUAGCGUUAUCCG